UGGCAGCUAACUUUUUCUGCAGCAGUUUGUUUCUGCUAUAAAGAAGCAAUAUUGCCACACUGUUAAAUGUCACUGUAGAUUUAGCAGCACAUUACUGUAAAAACCUACAGUACAGUACUGCCUUUUUAUAUUACAGUACAAUACUGUAUUUUGUAUUGCAUUCUGGGUAAUUUUGUUUGAGCGGGAACAUUUUACAGUAUAUUUUAGUGUUGCUGUAACCUAGCUGUAACUUGGCUGUAAUAUGCCAGGCAAAAAUACAGGAUUGCUGUAAACAGCGCCCCCCGACUGACGUCAGAACAACUGCAGCUCACUCACUCGAUGGAUAUCUGGAUGUCUCACUCGGUCGAUAUCUGGAAGUUUGCUCUACGGUGUGUCUUUGCAGCCUGGGAAUAAGUCUGUUCCUGGUCAGAAUCAACCCUGAAGAUGGAAAUGCCAGACAGACGAAGUGCCAGACAGGGAGUCAGUAAGGGGACCAAAAGGGUGGUGCAGAGGAAGUGACGGCCAUCAACCCACAAAACUUCAAAAUGAUGCCUGCACCCACACACUUGUUUUUUUGUUUGUUUGUUUGUUUGUUUUUUGUGUUUUUUUGUCGCUCACUUGUCAUUCUUUUACCCAACCCAAUCCUCAAGUUCUCUUUUCUUGUAUGUUUUUGUUUCAUUUACAUUUGUGCACACUUAAAAGGUUAGUUCACCCAAAAAUGAAAAUAAUGUAAUUUAUUACUUACCCUCAUUUCGUUCCAC